rnacentral:rRNA from 1 species
GUCUUGAUGGAGAGUUUGAUCCUGGCUCAGGAUAAACGCUGGCGGCGUGCCUAAUGCAUGCAAGUCGAACGGGGUCCCUUCGGGGGUCUACGUGGCGGACGGGUGAGGAACACGUGGGGAAUCUGCCCUGAGGUGGGGGGUAGCCCGUGGAAACACGGGGUAAUUCCGCAUAGCCUGGUGGACUGGUAAGGUCCAUCAGGAAAGCCUUCGGGCGCCUUGGGAGGAGCCUGCGGCCGAUUAGCUAGUUGGUGGGGUAAUGGCCUACCAAGGCGAUGAUCGGUAGCUGGUCUGAGAGGACGACCAGCCACAGGGGAACUGAGACACGGUCCCCACUCCUACGGGAGGCAGCAGCAAGGAAUUUUCCGCAAUGGGCGAAAGCCUGACGGAGCAACGCCGCGUGCGGGAUGACGCCUUUCGGGGUGUAAACCGCUUUUGUCAGGGACGAAGGCUGGGGCAACCCGGUGAGACGGUACCUGGCGAAGAAGGUCCGGCUAACUACGUGCCAGCAGCCGCGGUAAUACGUGGGGACCGAGCGUUGUCCGGAGUUACUGGGCGUAAAGGGCGUGCAGGUGGUCCGGUAAGCUUGGCGUGAAAGCCCCCGGCCCAACCGGGGAGGGUCGUCGAGGACUGUCGGACUUGAGGGGCGCAGGGGUCGGUGGAAUUCCGGGUGUAGUGGUGAAAUGCGUAGAGAUCCGGAGGAACACCAGUGGCGAAGGCGGCCGACUGGGCGCACCCUGACACUGAGACGCGAAGGCGUGGGGAGCGAACGGGAUUAGAUACCCCGGUAGUCCACGCAGUAAACGAUGUCGACUAGGCGUGGGGGGACUUGACCCCCUCCGUGCCGGAGCUAACGCGGGAAGUCGACCGCCUGGGGAGUACGGCCGCAAGGCUAAAACUCAAAGGAAUUGACGGGGGCCCGCACAAGCGGCGGAGCGUGCGGUUUAAUUCGAAGCGACGCGAAGAACCUUACCAGGGUUUGACAUGUCCCUGCAGGACCGGGAAACCGGGAGGCCUUCGAGGGUGGGACACAGGUGCUGCAUGGCUGUCGUCAGCUCGUGCCGUGAGGUGUUGGGUUAAGUCCCGCAACGAGCGCAACCCCCGUGGCUAGUUACGAUGUCUAGCCAGACAGCCCCGCAAGGGGAGGAAGGAGGGGAUGACGUCAAGUCAGCAUGGCCCUUACAUCCUGGGCGACACGCACGCUACAAUGGCCGGGACAGAGGGCAGCCAAGCCGCGAGGUGGAGCGAAUCCCAGAAACCCGGUCCCAGUUCAGAUUGCGGGCUGCAACUCGCCCGCAUGAAGGUGGAGUCGCUAGUAACCGCAGGUCAGCAGUACUGCGGUGAAUAUGUUCCCGGGCCUUGUACACACCGCCCGUCACGUCAUGGAAGCCGGCAACGCCUGAAGCCGGUGGGCCAACUCCUUCGGGAGAGGCAGCCGUCGAGGGCGGGGUUGGUAACUGGGACGAAGUCGUAACAAGGUAGCCGUAGCGGAAGCUGCGGCUGGAUCACCUCCUUUCUA